AGAGUGAACGCUGGCGGCAGGCCUAACACAUGCAAGUCGAACGGCAGCACAGGGGAGCUUGCUCCCUGGGUGGCGAGUGGCGGACGGGUGAGGAAUGCGUCGGAAUCUGCCUUUUCGUGGGGGAUAACGUAGGGAAACUUACGCUAAUACCGCAUGCGACCCCCGGUCCGGGAGGAUCGGGGUGAAAGGCGGGGGACCUUCGGGCCUCGCGCGGAAAGAUGAGCCGACGCCGGAUUAGCUAGUUGGCGGGUAACGGCCCACCAAGGCGACGAUCCGUAGCUGGUCUGAGAGGAUGAUCAGCCACACUGGAACUGAGACACGGUCAGACUCCUACGGGAGCAGCAGGUGGGGAGUAUUGACACAAGUGGGCGCAAGCCUGAUCCAGCCAUGCCGCGUGAGUGAAGAAGGCCGUUAGGUUGUAAAGCUCGUUUUGUUAGGAAAGUAAAGUACGUUUACGUUAAAGUAACCGGUAAGUUCGUAGUACGUAACCCAAAG
rnacentral:rRNA from 1 species